rnacentral:rRNA from 1 species
UACGGAGGGGGCUAGCGUUGUUCGGAAUUACUGGGCGUAAAGCGCGCGUAGGCGGCCCUGCAAGUCGGGGGGGAAAGCCCGAGGCUCAACCUCGGAACUGCCUUCGAUACUGCGGGUCUCGAGUCCGGGAGAGGUGAGUGGAAUUCCUAGUGUAGAGGUGAAAUGCGUAGAUAUUGGGAGGAACACCAGUGGCGAAGGCGGCUCACUGGACCGGUUCUGACGCUGAGGCGCGAAAGCGUGGGGAGCAAACGGG